UACGUACGAGGCGAGCGUUAUCCGGAAUUACUGGGCGUAAAGCGCGCGCAGGCGGAUACUUAAGUAGGGCGUGAAAUCUCCCGGCCUAACUGGGAGGGGUCGCUCUAGACUGGGUGUCUUGAGGACUGCAGAGGUGGGUGGAAUUCCUGGUGUAGUGGUGAAAUGCGUAGAGAUCAGGAGGAACACCGGUGGCGAAGGCGGCCCACUGGGCAGUCACUGACGCUGAGGCGCGAAAGCUCGGGGAGCGAACGGG
rnacentral:rRNA from 1 species